rnacentral:rRNA from 1 species
GAUGAACGCUGGCGGCGUGCCUAAUACAUGCAAGUCGAGCGAACGGAUGAGAAGCUUGCUUCUCUGAUGUUAGCGGCGGACGGGUGAGUAACACGUGGAUACCCUACCUAUAAGACUGGGAUAACUUCGGGAAACCGGAGCUAAUACCGGAUAAUAUUUUGAACCGCAUGGUUCAAAAGUGAAAGACGGUCUUGCUGUCACUUAUAGAUGGAUCCGCGCUGCAUUAGCUAGUUGGUAAGGUAACGGCUUACCAAGGCAACGAUGCAUAGCCGACCUGAGAGGGUGAUCGGCCACACUGGAACUGAGACACGGUCCAGACUCCUACGGGAGGCAGCAGUAGGGAAUCUUCCGCAAUGGGCGAAAGCCUGACGGAGCAACGCCGCGUGAGUGAUGAAGGUCUUCGGAUCGUAAAACUCUGUUAUUAGGGAAGAACAUAUGUGUAAGUAACUGUGCACAUCUUGACGGUACCUAAUCAGAAAGCCACGGCUAACUACGUG